GGGAUAGGUGCAGAGACUCAACGGAAGCUGUUCUAACAAAUGGAGUUGGCUUGCGUUAGUAGAGAAAUCUUUCCAUCUAAAAUUCCGAAAGGAUAAAGUGAAGGAUAAACGUAUAUACGUAUUGAAUACUAUAUCAAAUGAUUAAUGACGACUCGACUUAAUCUGUAUUUUUUAUAUAAAAACGGAAGAAUUGGUGUGAAUAGAUUCCCAUUGAAGACAU
rnacentral:tRNA from 1 species